rnacentral:rRNA from 1 species
CAUGCACGUCUAAGUACUCGCCUUGGUCUAUUUAAAGUGAAACCGCGAAUGGCUCAUUAAAUCAGUUAUGGUUCACUGGACCGUACCACAUCCUACUCGGAUAACUGUGGUAAUUCUAGAGCUAAUACAUGCAACUAGGCCCUGCCCGGCCGCUCCGUCCGUCAAAACGACGGUCGGUCGGAAAGGGCGCCAUUAUCAGCUCAAAACCGACCGGGUCGCCCGCCGUCCUCUGGACGGGCAGGGCUCCCGUUCUCGUUGACCCUUUGACGACUCUGGAUAACCUCCUAGCGGAUCGCCGGUCAAACUUAGGUCGGCCGGGUGUUUCGGCAUCCGCGCCCGACCUAACGGCGACUGGUCUUUCGAAUGUCUGCCUUAUCAACUGUCGACGGUAGGUUAGACGCCUACCGUGGUCGUAACGGGUGACGGGGAAUCAGGGUUCGAUUCCGGAGAGGGAGCCUGAGAAACGGCUACCACAUCCAAGGAAGGCAGCAGGCACGCAAAUUACCCAAUCCCCGAACGGGGAGGUAGUGACGAAAAAUAACGAUACGGGACUCUUAACGAGGCCUCGUAAUCGGAAUGAGUCCGCUCUAAAUCCUUUUAACGAGGAUCUAUCGGAGGGCAAGUCUGGUGCCAGCAGCCGCGGUAAUUCCAGCUCCGAUAGCAUAUAUUAAAGUUGCUGCGGUUGAAAAGCUCGUAGUUGGAUUUGGGUUUUCGAGCCGGCGGGCCACCACCUUCGAGNGGCGCGUCUCCUGCCGCGCCCCCAGAACCGCACAGUCGCAGAGGCCCCCGCGGUGCUCUUGAGUGAGUGUCCGCCGGUUCGGGUCGCCGAACGUUUACUUUGAAAAAAUUAGAGUGCUCCAGGCAGGCUGGUAAAGCGUUGUUUAAAAAAGACCCGCGCCUGAAUAGUCACGCAUGGAAUAAUGAAAGAGGACCGGUGGUCCUAUUUUGUUGGUUUUCGGGAUUUUCCGCCGUCAUGAUUAAGAGGGACGGCCGGGGGCAUUCGUACCGCGGCGCGAGAGGUGAAAUUCAAGGACCGCCGCGAGACNAACCNNUGCGAAAGCAUUUGCCAAGAAUGUUUUCCUUAA